rnacentral:tRNA from 2 species
GGCGCGGUCGCCAAGUGGUAAGGCAAUGGUCUGCAAAACCAUUAUCGGCGGUUCGAUUCCGCCUCGCGCCUCCA